CAAAAUCGUCACGAUUCAACUGUGUGUGUGUGUUGUGGUUGUGGUGGUAAUCUCUGUCUGUGCUACGGCUUCCGCACUCCAUCCUUGUACAUGGUCGUUGCGCACACCUAGAUAUCUAUCUGUAUAUAGUUACGUAUCUGUCUGUUCUUUGCUCGUCUUCCGUUGUUUCCUUUGCUUCUCUCUUGCCCGAUUUUAUUUUGUGUUGUGCGCCCGUUUUCGAAGAGCUCGUCUUGACUACGUGGGACAUCUCUCUCUCUAUAUAUAUACACACGCACACACCGCCACGGAAAGCAGCAAUAAAACAGCGUCGACACUCAACCCAGUUUGUUCAGUUCUCUCCGCUUUCCCUUCCGACACAAUGACGACCGCUGUCGAGGCAAUCGAUGUCGACGACGACGAGUGCUAUCCGGGCGACUCCUUUCAGGACGACUUCGAAAGCGACAGCUCAAGCACCUCGCACCGCUCAGCGCACAUGAAAGAGACCAGAAGGCAUAAUGAGCGGGCGGCGCCAGGAGACUUUGCAGUCAGCGGUGAGGGCACGCCGAGCAACGCAACCACGUCCACCUCCAGUUCAGGCAACCCACCGAGCUCACGCAGUUCUCGCAACUCCUCUGUGCUUCACAGCCUGGGGAAACCACCGGCACACCUGAAAGGUGCCGCCAAAGGCGCUUCGCCCGCUGCGUCGUCGAUCUCAUUGUCGUCUUCAUUGCCGCUCCCGCGCCGCUCCAGCGACAGUGCAUCUGCCCACUCGGCAAAUGGCGACGCCACCUCUGAGGAGGCCAGGUUCGCCGAGAAGAACACCGCGUAUGACGCUGACAGCUUCGUCCUGCCGGCUGACCGUGUGUACGAAGGCCAGCAGCGGCUCGCCGACGGCUGCAUGAGCGAAUCCCGCUCGCGUAGCGGCCGCCUUUCCGUCGACCAGAGGAGCACUGGCGGCCGGUGUGCGCGCGAGGCCGGUUACCCAGUCGGCUCUCAGCCCGAUUAUGUCUCCACCAAUGCGUCGGUGACCGGGCGCUGCCGCCUUCAGCGGCCCGACGUUCCGGAAACUGCCGAGGAGCUUCUGACGAUGCAGGAGGAGAAUGCCAGCAUGCGCGAAGAGCUCUUCCAGCGCAGUCGCGAGCAUUACCAUGCUAGCUUCUCACAGAGCAGCAAAAGCGGCGGCACCUUCAACAGAAAUCGCACCAUUGGUGGCCCUGGUGCGUCACACAAGAGCACGCUGACGUCGGCCGUCGACAGCACAUUUCGGCUUCACCGCGAGUCCACCGCGCGUUUUGUGCAGGUGUCGCUUAUGGCGCAUCGCACGCUGCAGGUACUGCGGUUGGAGCAGCGCGAGCUCCUCAAGCGCCGCGACGAGCUGAGGGAGCUCGUGAGUCGCUACAAGAAGGCCACCAAGUACAAGGAUUAUAUCGAGAUCGCCAAGCAGGACAUUGCCGUCCUGACGGAGGACCACCGCGACGCGCACCUGGAGGUGCGCUGCAACGAGAAGCUGCUUUUGAUGAACGACGCAAUGUUCGAAAGUGGCCUUGGCGAUCGACGACUGCUAGAGGAGGUUCGCUCUCAGAACGCGCUGACGCAGCGUCGACGCGAGCAUGCGCUGCGUGACGCCGACAGUGCGCAGCGCGUGCGUGAUGCCGCAGCGAAGCGGGUGGAGGAGCUGAAGUGGGAGCUGGAAAAGCGGCGUCAGUGGGUGGAGAGGGGAAGCCACGCAGAUGUGAAUCAGCUAUGCGUGCUUAAUCAAGCCAAGAAGGCUCGCAUCCACGAGCUUCGGAGGCAACUGCGGCAGCUGCGGCAAGAGGGCAGGGAGACCCGCGGCGAAUCUGGUUCGCACUCGAGGAAGUUCCAUGGGCCCCCACAAGCUUGUCACAGACAUCAGUGCUACACGCGGCCCGACGACGCCGAGCGCGAGUAUCUUGAGAAGCGCAUUUCAGAGAUUCGUCGCGAACUGGAGGCCAUUGCAGGCGAACCUUCCCAGGUCGCGGCCUCGCGGAGGACGUCGAUCGGCGAUGCAGCUAGUCCGGCUGGGGACACGGGGUCUGCGGCUGCGUCGCCGAAACCUGAGGCGUCUCAAAACGAACUCCCUGCGGCGGCGCAGCAGGAGGGCACCUCAGCAGCGACUGUUGUACAGGAGCUGGCCCGCGCGUGCUCGGUCGAUGGGGAGUCAGCAAAGGCAGGUUCAAACAACGCGUACGACGACGUCGAUGCCACCGCGUGGCUACACGCUCAUUCUGCGGCUGAGAGCGGCCAUAACGAAGCCACGUACUCGCAACGCAGCUCUCAUGACGCUGCUACGGCAGGAAACGACUGUUCAGAGGAAAGCGGAGCGCCUGCGGUACCGCAAGCCGACGUAUGGCAUCAAGAACGUACUGACAAGACAGCAACGGCACAUGAUGAGCCGCCGCCGUGGUUGGAUGCCGGGGAGGAUGGCGGCGAAUUGGACGUCGCGCCUACGCAAGCCGAUCUGGCGCGGCUACCCUCUUACGAGCACGACGCUGCCGACAGCGUCGAGGAGGACAUAGCGGAGGAAGAACUGGGUAGCGAUGCUGGACAGGCAGCGCCGGCGGCCGCUGCAUCGGCUCAUGGGGACAUGGAGCUGGAUGAUGUACUCUUCGGCGCCGACGGUCAUGCCCCGGCGUACGCAGCCGCGUCGCCCCCCGCGCCUGCGGCGGACAACAACGGCGACGACGGUCCAGACUGGUUAAACUUCUGAUGUUCGCCGGAUGCCGGGCAAGGCGUCUAUCACCGCGUAGACUUCAGUAGUCGGUGUUCACGUCACAUUUCUAUGUUUGCCGCUGAAUGCAUAGGUCUACGCCCCUUUCCAUCUGUGAGCCUGCUUCCUGGCAUCUGGCACGCACGACGGAGGACGUCCCCCGCGCAUGGCAUUUGUUCGGUCCUCUCCUCUUCAGCGACCUGUGGUUGCCUCGUUCUGCUGGACACACCGGUGGCCAGUAAGCCUCGCUGCUCCACGAUGAUGGCGCCGCCCCUCAGGAGAACAAUUGCUCGCCCCCCUCCCCGUCGUGUUCACCUCGCCAUCUAAAUGAUUGUGUGUGUGUCUGUUUCUGCGUGCACUGCUCGACCUGCUCUCUCGCUCCUUUUUUCGUGUGUGCGGGCUUCGUCCUGCCAUUGGAGUGUUUCCUUCGUGGAAAGGAUGGUGAUGCUCGUGAUGCGCGUUCUCAGACUCUGAUGGCUGUGGGUGGAGUCGCUGCGUCGUGUGCAGAGGAGGGGGCGUGGGAGGCUGCCUUAUCUGCGCAAGUGCGUGAAGCGUUUGGCUCUUCUUCGUGUUUCCACUUCUUUUUAAUGGUUAGGUUUUCGGAAGUGCUUCUUUUUCUGGUCUUUGGCUCUCGCACGCGCGUGUUUGUGUGUGUGUGUGUAUCGGUGAGUACGAGCGAAUGUGGGCAUGAGGAGACGAGGAGGGGAGAGUCGAGACCAGAGAAGUCGAUGGAGGGGGAAGACAUUGGUGGUGACGAAGGAUGGCUGAUGCUGGACGAAAAAAGAGGUGACACUAGUGGUAAAAGUCCAGCGAAGAUGCGCGCCCAUCGUGUCUCUUGAAAACCAGUGUCGGUCGACUGCGUCUCUCGCCUUUGCAACCUGUCAUGAACUUCCUCACAUUUUUUUUUUACUGCUUCCGUGCUUCGGUUCUCAUGAUUCACGAGGUGGCAAUGCUGCACAGCUUGUCACCUUCUGUGGCGCUCUCUAAGUGUAGGCAUCCUCCCCCUCCCCCGACCAUCUUACCUCUCAAUCUCUGCAAACGUAUCUAUAUACGUUUUUCCAUGAUACCGCUAUAUAUAUAUCCUGCUUCUCGCAUUCCGGGAGACCUGACCUGAUGUCUAUAGUACCCGCACAGAAGAUGCUUAGCGUAAGAUGGUCGCUGACCUUAUGUUCUUGUAGCGCAUAUGUUUAUGCCCCCUCCCCUGUUCUUUCUUUGUUGUUUGCCCCUCCCCCAAUUUUUCUUUUUCUUUCUGCGUCUUCGUCUUUACGAUGUAAGUGCCUCUCUGUCUCUCUGUUGCGGCGCUCUCUGACUGUUUCUGCCUGCCGUGGUAUGCAUGGCAAACAGGGUGCGCCUCAACACAUCCGUGCCGCAGCGACUUGCUACCUGGGGUAAUAUGCAAGGAAUAGAGAACGAAUGGGAACCACCUGUAUCUUCGUGUGCAAGUGUGCGUGCGUGUGUCUUUCCGUAUGUGAAGCGAACCAGAAAUCAG
rnacentral:misc_RNA from 1 species